GAUCGGAUGGUCUAACGGCAUGACACCCUAUUUCUGCUAAUUGCAUGUCCGGGGCAGAGCGAGUUCGACUCUCGCACUGGUCA